UGCAAACUUUAUAACUUUGUUGGUGUCACUAGGCAUAAAUCUAGGCCUCAGUGAACCAAAGCUCCUCCAUGUUGAACUUUACUUGAUCUAGAAAGCUAGCAGCUGUGAAAUUAAAUGUUUAACAGUA